AGGGUCUGACUGGGUCAGGAGAUCAGCCUGCUUGUCAGAUUCCUGGGAAAAGUUGAUCCAGGGCAAUCCUGGUUCUGCCUGUCACAGACAUGUCGGUGCCCUCCUCGGAGAGCCUCCAAUCACCCUCGUCCGCAUGAGAACGCCGAGGUCGAGGCCCAGGGACAAGUGACCUGCCGAGGAAGACCAUGGGGGGCAGUGACCCUAGAGAAUGUCUUCUAGCCCUAGGCUGGUGAGCAAUAGCUAUGAAAUUUGUCGGGAAGUCACCUGGGUCAUUGCACGGUUUGCUCCCUGGAGAAGGACGGAAAGACGGAAAGGUCCGCAGGACCUUAGAGUGCGCGCCAAGGCUUUGGGUGCCUCCAGCGACUGUCUACCGCUCUGGGUCCCCUCCUGUCUGGCCCACAGCUGCACCCCCGGCUCAGGGCUGCACACUC